CGGUUUCAACUUGCUGCGGGCAAAUCCAGUGAAUAUGCGUAUCGAUGCCACCUGCUGUCAGUAUCUGCCCUUCGCCUGCAAUCACUUCGGUGGCAGCGCCCAAAGGAAUGGUGAUAUUGGGUUGAAUAUCGGGAUUACCUGCUUUACCAAUUUUCCAAAUACGUCCGUUCUUGAGUCCGACAUCCGCUUUGACGAUGCCCCACCAAUCCACAAUCAACGCAUUGGUAAUCACAGUAUCUGCAACGUCAUCGGCUAAGAGUUGUGACUGCCCCAUGCCAUCACGG
rnacentral:sRNA from 1 species